rnacentral:rRNA from 1 species
UACAGAGGGGGCAAGCGUUGUUCGGAAUUAUCGUGGCGUAAAGGGCGCGUAGGCGGCCUGUUAAGUCGAACGUGAAAUCCCCGGGCUCAACCCGGGAACUGCGUCCGAUACUGGCAGGCUUGAAUCCGGGAGAGGGAUGCGGAAUUCCAGGUGUAGCGGUGAAAUGCGUAGAUAUCUGGAGGAACACCGGUGGCGAAGGCGGGUCUCUGGGCAGUAACUGACGCUGAGGAGCGAAAGCGUGGGGAGCGAACAGG